GUCGUGAUCACGGUAGAGGAGGAGUAAAGAAAGUAUCAGCUGAUGUUAUGUAAACAAAGGCACAGCUGAGAGGUGCCACUGUAGAAACGCCAAGUGUAGUCCGGGGUUGAGUUUCUAUUUGAAUCCAAGAUGGCCGACUUUUAACCGGAAAAUGGUUGCAUUGUGUUAUUUUCUUAUAAUUUAUGUAAAAGUUGUCCCAAAAAUAUUGGUUAUAUGUAAAAGUUUAAUAUAUUUUCAAAAGAAAAUCGUUUUAUUUUAAUAUAUAUUCUUAAAGAUGAGAACAAUAUGAGCAAAUACAUGAAAAAUUAAGUUUUUUAUUUAUGCCUCUUUUUAACUGUGGUAAGUCAAUAAAUGUUCACCACAGAAAAAUGUUACGAACAAAUAAGCAACCAUGCCGAAUAGUGGGGUCUAGAUUAUGCUCAUUCACAGCCAUAUUUACAUUUUUGCCAUCGUAACGAAGGUUUUUGCAAAGACAAUUUGUUUUAGUUUAUUUCAUGGUUAAAUCCUUUGCGAUGGUUUAUUUAGUUAUUUUAAUCUAUAAAAAGCGUUUACAAUUUUCAUGGGACGAUAAACAUCAGAUCGGCUGCGAUUUUAUUCCAAUAAAAGUACGAAAUAACCAAACAUGGCCACGUUAAUAUUGCUGCGUAAUGGGUCUGGUGCUGUUACAAUUUUAUGAUUUAAGAGAUAGUCAAAUGUAGUUAUCAAAUUAGUUGGCCGUGAAUUCGAGACAAAAUUUUAAAUUCAAUGGCGUUCUCGUGUAAGAGAUCGCAUUGCUAGAAUCAGCAAAGGAGCUGGUGUAGAACGCUAGUCCCAAACCAAUGAGCUUUGUGCUUGAGGGUGGAAGCAACUUUUUGAAGAGCAAAUACUACGGUGAGCACAUUCGGAUGUUGCAUAACCUAUUGUAAAUUGCGCUUAGAAUCCCGGUACUGCUGGUCAGGUUUAUCAGGCUGUUGGGCCAAAGCGUUACCAGUUGAGCGAAUUAAUUGACUGGUUUCAUCGUGUUAUGCGCAAAGAUGAAAAAUGGUGGGGAUACCGUCAUUGAGACAUGUGUUGUGAUCCUACCUUCUUAUUGAAAGCCAAGUUCACGAAUGUAUUACCGAUGUCGUUCCCUCCAACAUACCGUGGUUGAAGAAUUUUGGUGUACAAUCAAUGGAAGAGCAAGUACCAUGAGAAUUAUGACCAUAUCGUGCUGCGCAAUAUUAUGAUGCCGAAUUGGGGAGUGGGGGGAACCAGCUCCACCAAAACCGAUAGAACAUCGGGAUGAACUACGCAAAUAAUAAACAACACUCAUCAAAUGAAAGUUGGCAGCGUUGGUGACUAAGCAGCGAUUUGAAAAAGAAACAUUUGCAUCUACGCGAAUUACAAUUCGUCUUUACAUCUAGUGAAUUAUGGUCGAUUAUGAAUGGUGUGGAAGUUGAUAUUUAAACUUUAAAAAACAAAUAAAUGUAAUUUGGCUAAUAAUGAGCCGCUAUUAAAAGUUAAGGAA